GCUCCCAUAGUGUAGUCCGGUUAAGCAUACAGCCCUCUCAAGGCUGUGACCCGGGUUCAAAUCCCGGUGGGAGCACCA
rnacentral:tRNA from 1 species